UACGUAGGUGGCAAGCGUUGUCCGGAUUUACUGGGCGUAAAGAGCGCGCAGGCGGUCGAAUAAGUCGAAUGUGAAAGCCCCGGCUCAACUGGGGAGGGUCAUUCGAUACUGCUCGACUUGAAGGCAGGAGAGGGUAGUGGAAUUCCCGGCGUAGUGGUGAAAUGCGUAGAUAUCGGGAGGAACACCGAUGGCGAAGGCAGGUCUCUGGGCCACUACUGACGCUGAGAAGCGAAAGCAUGGGGAGCGAACAGG
rnacentral:rRNA from 1 species